UUUGCUGCUCCCUGCCUGCACACUCCUUUGAUAUAAAUAGAGAGCCAGGGAGGUUGUAAAGCUGGAAGAUACAGUGUACAAUAGGAAAUACCAGGGAAAGGGAUGGAUCCUUCUCGCCCCAGGGUCCUGCUGUCCUCUGCUAUAUUACACCGUCUUUUGUAGACUCAGCUAAGCCUGUUGUGGAAGGAGUGGCUCUUGGAGCCAUGCUGGACCUGACCGUGCCUUGCUAUGGGAUGGAAUCGCUGGGGAGACCAUCAGCUUAGGGCCCUAGCAUGGCCAGAAGAGGAGUUUGGAUCAUUGCCACCAUUGAAACCAAGAGCUGUAGGGAUGCAUGAAGAAGUUUCUUCAUGACUCAUUCCCAUUUCAUACCCUUUGACUGCUUGUGAAAAAUACAGCAGACACGUGUAGAGAGGUGAAGGCUCUUGCAUUUUGCAUUGGAAGAGGGAUUCAUCUUGCCAAGAGUAUACAACGUAAAUCUGCUUUCUAAAGGACUUGGCCAACUGCAGAAAAUCUACCAAACCUGAUGUCUGGCCCCAUUCAGAUCACACACUGGGGCGGACGCGGGACUGACGUGAGCGAGCAUCGCCCCGGGAGUGCGCUGGUUACCAAGCCCUCUGAGCAGCGCUGGGGGCCUUGGCUCCAUCGCGUUAGCAAUCCAGAAGGUGGGUGAAGAGAAGCUGUCUGGAAAGGAGGUUUGGAAAGUUGAAGGCAAGAUCAGAUGUUGGAAGCAGCAGCCAUGUUCCAUCAGAAGAGAGGUAAGUCGGUGUUCCCCACCACAGUGCAAUUUUUAAAGCCCAAGUUGACAAUGGAAAAAAAAACCCACAACCCUCGCUCUGCCUCCAGAUGACACAAGAUCCAG
rnacentral:lncRNA from 1 species